CGGAGAUUAAAGAAUUUAUUUUCCAGAUAUAUUUUUGAUGAAGAAAUAGCAUGAAAAAGACUACAUUGUACUGGAUAUGUUACAUCAUUUCUGACAUUAGAAAUCCAAAUAUACGAGUUGAAUCUCACGUGAAACAUCAAUUUUUAUUGUACUCUGCCAUAUUAGAAUAAACAUAAAACAGUUAUUUAUAAAACGAUUUUUGCCAAAAACGAAAAAUCUCAAGAGAAAAAUAUCCUGGGACGGCUCAAAUUCAAUAUAUAGGUUUAACUGCAACCCCCAGUCCCACUCGUCCUAUUAAAGCCUAUGAUUAUGUAAGUUAAGCUACUAUUGUUCUAAUAAUAUAAACAUAGAAUGGAUUACAAGUAAUCAAGCAUUCAAGGCAUGCAAAUGAGUAAUUUAGGUGGAAACUGGUAAAAAUAUGCCAUAACCAAUAAUUAGGUCUAUUGCUGAAUAUCAUCCAUCUUUUAAAGGCCAUGUAAAGAACAUGAUGUAAACAAACGCUUAAUUGAUGACAUUUUGAACUGAGUGCUACAGUUGUAAAAUAUUGCUUGAUAUACAUUAUACUGACAUCGUAACAAAGUUAGAAAACUAUGUAAAUCUGCUCGUCAGUCCUACUACGAUAAGAAAAUCCUUAAUACCAGUGAAUCUAACCCAAAAAAAUGGUACGAUAACAUCAAGUCUAUUUCUGGUCUAUCUAAAUCGGAACCUUUUUCGAGCAUCUUCCAUGAUGGUGAGUUCAAAAGAGGUCCUGAGCUUGCUGAACUAAUUGCCGAAUCUUUCUGUGCUGUUUCAAACGAAUUGGCCCCACUCUGCUUCAAUAAGCUUCACAUUACAUCUGUUCCUGAUGAGUACAUAAUAUCAACCCAACAAGUUGAAAUCGAAUUAGAAAAGAUCAGUCUUCAGAAAGCAAUUGGCCCCGACGAUAUCCCCAACUGGGUACUGAAAUCAGCUGCACCGUUGCUCGCUGGUCCAAUAUGUUCCAUCUUCAAUGCCAGCAUUGCACAAGGUUGCAUCCCGACACUCUGGAAAUCAGCAGACGUUAUCCCAGCGCCAAAAAUAUCUAAUCCCAAAUCAGUUGAUAGCGACCUAAGACCUAUUUCUCUCACACCGGUGCUGAGUAAAUUAUUGGAAAGCUUUGUUUUUCGAUGGCUUUUUGGUUAUAUUAAACCAUCAAUCGACCCGCUCCAGUUCGGAAAUAUGAAAAAUUGCUCCACCACACACGCUCUUAUCCACAUGAUCCAUAACUGGCUAGCCGAAUUAGAAAACCCUGGUUCAACUAUCAGAUGUUGUAUGAUUGACUUUUUGGAAGCCUUUGAUCGCAUCGAUCACAAUAUUUUACUUCAUAAAUUACAACAACUCAACAUCCCUCCUAUCUUGUUGAAUUGGUGCGCUGAGUUCCUGCAUGACCGAUAUUUACGUGUCAAGCUUGGCCAGAAUAAAUCAACAUGGCGACAAAUAAAUGCAGGGGUUCCACAAGGUACAAAACUUGGACCCCUCUUCUUCCUUGUGAUGAUAAAUGACUUGCAAACCAACACUCCAAUGUACAAAUAUGUCGAUGACUGCUCCACAUACGAAAUCGUUUCAAGAUCGUCCCCUACUUCAUCGCUUCAAGCUAAUAUAAACACUAUAAAUGACUGGACCAAUCACAACAACAUGCGGCUUAAUGUAUCUAAAACCAAAGAACUGCGUAUAUCCUUUCUUAGAGUCCCUAUGGUAUUCGAUGCCCUCUCUUCAU
rnacentral:lncRNA from 1 species